GCUGCAUUUUCAAUAGAAUCGUUGAGUUGGAAUGGGACCCCUCCGGGUCAUCUAGUCCAACCCCCCUGCCAAGCAGGGAUCUUAUCUGGGUAGAAUACUGAGCCGAGCAGGCUAACGGUAUGACACACACACACACACACACACACACACACACACAAUUUUAUAAUAAUAUUAUAAAAUAAUUUUAUAAUAAUAUUAUAAUUUUAUAAUAAUAUUAUAAAAUAAUUUUAUAAUAAUAUUAUAAAAUAACAACAAUAAUAAUAUUAUUAUUAUACACACACAUACACACACACUGCUUUUUUCUGGGGGUACGCAUACCCCUAAACAUUUUGUGAAUCUUUGUACUUUUGUCCAUUUACUUUAUUUAUUUUCCUGAUUCGAAAUAUAAAAUGGUGAUUUUCUUGAGUCAAAAUAAGAGUACCUCUCAACAUUUUUUUUAAAAGCAAGGGUAGGCAAACUAAGGCCCAGGGGCCGGAUCCGGCCCAAUCGCCUUCUCAAUCCGGCCCGCGGACGGUCCGGGAAUCAGCGUGUUUUUACAUGAGUAGAAUGUGUCCUUUUAUUUAAAAUGCAUCUCUGGGUUAUUUGUGGGGCCUGCCUGGUGUUUUUACCUGAGUAGAAUGUGUCCUUUUAUUUAAAAUGCAUCUCUGGGUUAUUUGUGGGGCCUGCCUAGUGUUUUCACAUGAGCGGAAUGUGUGCUUUUAUUUAAACUGCAUCUUUGGGUUAUUUGUGGGGCAUAGAAAUUCAUUCAUUCCCCCUCCCCCCCAAAAAAUAUAGUCUGGCCCCCUCAAGGUCUGAGGGACAGUGGACCGGCCUCCUGCUGAAAAAGUUUGCUGACCCCUGAUCCAGACCUUCUGUUUUUGAAUUCCAGCUCCCAGCCCCUGCUUACAAGACUAAUAUCCGUUCUAAUAUAUUAUGUUUUUUUCCAGGAACUGGUGCUUAUUCCCAAGUAAAUGUCUUAAGCAGGACGGCUGCAGAAAUAGACCCCAUGACGGUGCCACGAUUUGAGUGAGUUAAAACAACAACCACCGUGAAACAGUAUACACUCUAUUUUUUUAUUUUUGUUUCUAUUUUCGCUUAUGAUGUUAUCUGCU